rnacentral:rRNA from 1 species
CGUGUAGGCGGUUCUGCAAGUCCGAUGUGAAAGCCCGGGGCUCAACCCCGGAAGUGCAUUGGAUACUACGGAGCUGGAGUCCUGAAGAGGAGAGCGGAAUUCCCGGUGUAGAGGUGAAAUUCGUAGAUAUCGGGAGGAACACCAGUGGCGAAGGCGGCUCUCUGGACAGGUACUGACGCUGAGACGCGAAAGCGUGGGUAGCAAACA